AUACGAAGGGGGCUAGCGUUGUUCGGAAUUACUGGGCGUAAAGCGCGCGUAGGCGGAUUGGUCAGUUAGGGGUGAAAUCCCAGGGCUUAACCCUGGAACUGCCUCUAAUACUGCCAGUCUUGAGUUCGGGAGAGGUGAGUGGAAUUCCUAGUGUAGAGGUGAAAUUCGUAGAUAUUAGGAAGAACACCAGUGGCGAAGGCGGCUCACUGGCCCGAUACUGACGCUGAGGCGCGAAAGCGUGCGGAGCAAACAGGAUUAGAAACCCUAGUAGUCC
rnacentral:rRNA from 1 species